CCGAUCGGGUAGGAGCCGGGGGACGUCUGAUAAGACUGCCUGCGCAAGCAGAGAGGAAGGAGGGGACGACGUCAAGUCAUCAUGGCCCUUACGCCCAGGGCGACACACGUGCUACAAUGGCGCAUACAGCGGGUAGCUACCUGGCAACAGGAUGCCAACCUCUAAAAGUGCGUCUCAGUUCGGAUUGGGGUCUGCAACCCGACCCCAUGAAGCUGGAAUCGCUAGUAAUCGCGCAUCAGCCAUGGCGCGGUGAAUACGUUCCCGGACCUU
rnacentral:rRNA from 1 species